rnacentral:rRNA from 1 species
UGAGGGGGGCUGCUCCUAGUACGAGAGGACCGGAGUGGACGCAUCACUGGUGUUCGGGUUGUCAUGCCAAUGGCACUGCCCGGUAGCUAAAUGCGGAAAAGAUAAGUGCUGAAAGCAUCUAAGCACGAAACUUGCCCCGAGAUGAGUUCUCCCUGAGACUAUAAGUCUCCUGAAGGAACGUUGAAGACGACGACGUUGAUAGGCCGGGUGUGUAAGCGCAGCGAUACGUUGAGCUAACCGGUACUAAUGAACCGUGAGGCUUAACCUUACAACGCCGAAG